UACGAAGGGUGCAAGCGUUACUCGGAAUUACUGGGCGUAAAGCGUGCGUAGGUGGUUUGUUAAGUCCGUUGUGAAAGCCCUGGGCUCAACCUGGGAAUGGCAGUGGAUACUGGCGAGCUAGAGUGCGGUAGAGGGUAGUGGAAUUCCCGGUGUAGCAGUGAAAUGCGUAGAGAUCGGGAGGAACACCAGUGGCGAAGGCGGGUCUCUGGACAGUUCCUGACGCUGAGGCACGAAGGCCAGGGAGCAAACGGGG
rnacentral:rRNA from 1 species